rnacentral:rRNA from 1 species
AACAAACGCUGGCGGCGUGCCUAACACAUGCAAGUCGUACGAGAAAUCCUGGGCAACUGGGAGAGUAAAGUGGCGCACGGGUGAGUAACGCGUGGGUAACCUGCCCUUGAAUUGGGGAUAACUCCGCGAAAGCGAAGUUAAUACCGAAUGAUAUUCCGAUUUCUCCGGAGGUUGGAAUCAAAGGUGGCCUCUGCAUGCAAGCUACUGUUCAAGGAUGGGCCCGCGUACCAUUAGCUUGUUGGUAGGGUAACGGCCUACCAAGGCAUCGAUGGUUAGCUGGUCUGAGAGGAUGGCCAGCCACACUGGAACUGAGACACGGUCCAGACUCCUACGGGAGGCAG